UGGUUUUAAAUAACGUUCUUUCAGGACCACUAUCGUUAAAGAUGAUUGAAAAUUAGCAUACAGUUUGGAUUGGCGGUAUGGUUCUAUUCUGGGCAAGAACUCC